CCAAUAGCGUAUAUUAAAGUUGUUGCAGUUAAAAAGCUCGUAGUUGAAUUUCGGGAUCAAUUUGUCGGUCGUGCCUCGGUACGUACUGGCAUUAUUGGUUUCUACCUUCUGAAGAACCUUGAUGUCAUUAAUUUGGUGUCUUGGGGAAUCAGGACUGUUACUUUGAAAAAAUUAGAGUGUUUAAAGCAGGCAUACGCUUGAAUACAUUAGCAUGGAAUAA
rnacentral:rRNA from 1 species